rnacentral:rRNA from 1 species
UGACUGAGCGGCGGACGGGUGAGUAACGCGUGGGUAACCUGCCUCAUACAGGGGGAUAACAGUUAGAAAUGACUGCUAAUACCGCAUAAGACCACAGGGCCGCAUGGCCCGGUGGUAAAAACUCCGGUGGUAUGAGAUGGACCCGCGUCUGAUUAGCUGGUUGGUGGGGUAACGGCCUACCAAGGCGACGAUCAGUAGCCGACCUGAGAGGGUGACCGGCCACAUUGGGACUGAGACACGGCCCAAACUCCUACGGGAGGCAGCAG